rnacentral:misc_RNA from 1 species
CUGCCCUCCAGCCCGGCUGGUGUGUUGGGCCCCGCCCCCCUUCCCGGGGGGGGCGGGCCCGAAAGGCAGCGGCGGCACCGCGUCCGGUCCUCGAGCGUAUGGGGCUUUGUCACCCGCUCUUGCAGGCCCGGCCGGCGCCAGCCGACCCCCUCAAUCUAUUUUUUCA